rnacentral:misc_RNA from 1 species
CUGAAUCGAUGAUGGUCUGUGGAUCGAGAACGUCGGGAUAGAACCACGCGAAGUCUCGCGGAUAAUAGGCCGAAGCAUGCGGCGCGCCGGUGACAAGAAACGCUUCCUGCGCGGANNNNNNNNGAGUUGCGGUAAAGCUCGUCGAUCUUCGCCGAUGCAUAAUAGGCGCGCCGCAGGAAGCGGUCCGAGAGGAAGUUGGCGGCUUGAAGACAAUUGGCGACGCAGGUCGCAGCGAGGCCUUGAUAAAACCUGUGCUCAGAGUUUGAAGGCAGAAGUCCUUCGAUCCGUAGCAAUUUGAAGUGCGCCUUGAAUAGCCUGGCGGCGCGAUUCGAUUGAAGCGCCAUAUGCGCGCAGGCACUGUGCAGACGUCAGCAAGCCAUGCCGAAAGAUGCAC